AGCAGCGCUAGGGAGGAAACUCAGUGUCUCUCUUUAUUCCAGGGAUGCUCUCUAUCACCAAGCUGCAAUUCCCCAGCUUAGAGCAGCGACUUCUGUUGCCCCAGGAGAGGAAAAGUGCCGCCUCAGCCCUCCUCAUUGACUCACAAGAUACGCCAGGCAAGGGCCCGGGUAUUCCUUUGCAGCUGAGGACACUCGGUACCAAGGACACGCAGUCAGUCUGGGGCAGCCUCCCUGAAAGGUUCUGGUAUCUCCUCUCCAGUUCCUAGUCUUGGCUAUCCAGGGACCUUGAGGCCGCUGGGAAAGGGCCAGGAAGGAAGUGAAGCUAUCCGUCCCCCACUCUUUCCCUAGCUCCAGGUGGACUCUGGCCCUUGAAAUGAAGAUGAGAUAGAAGAACAGCGGGAGAAAAAUAUUUCCCCCUGUCCCAGCUAGGUUCCUACCUAGGAAUUCCCUUCCUCCCGUGCACCUCUGAGACCCAGAGUCGCCGCCUCUACCUGUACGCAGAGGUUCCCCAGGUAAGGGUCGAGGUCGGAGCACUUCCGCUUUCUCUGGGCCCGUGUGAGAUCCAGGCUCUACUCCUUCCUCCCACCAACCAGGUGCGGCUUUCACUGUCCUCAGCCGGCCCAGACUCCACCCCUCGCUUCGAAAAGACCCGCCCCUGUCCCGUGCUCACUCCCAAGGGCGCCCUUGCUCCCAGCGAGGCUGCGGAGCGGCAGACUUUACGCUCGGCGCCCAGCCACGCUCGUGGCCGCACCAGCUGCCAUCACGGAAACACAAGGGACUCAAGGACUUUGGAACCGCGCCUACCCACGCCCUGUUCCUUUCCACCUGGCUCUGUGACCGAUUUGAGGCCGUGCCGAUAUCAAACCCGGGGCCACGCGCAAAGGGAUCUGCCACCGCUACACCAGCCAGCUUCAAAUGUGCUCUUUAACUGAGCUUGAACUCCGUGCGAACAGAUCUCCGUCAACGCUCUCAGUGUCAUUGCUCCAGCAUCCAUCAGCGAAGGGCAAUGAGCUCAAUACCACCGCAGGCCAGCAGGGGGCAGACGGUGACCAGCUUUCUCACCACCCAACAGCCUCAACAGCCAGGAUAGGCGAGCAGAUUUGUAGGCAAUAAAUGCAAGCGGCCAGGGCCA
rnacentral:lncRNA from 1 species